rnacentral:rRNA from 1 species
AUUGAACGCUGGCGGCAUGCUUUACACAUGCAAGUCGAACGGUAACAGGCCUUCGGGUGCUGACGAGUGGCGAACGGGUGAGUAAUGCAUCGGAACGUACCCAGUGGUGGGGGAUAACGCAGCGAAAGCUGUGCUAAUACCGCAUGUGAUCUGAGGAUGAAAGCGGGGGACCGAGCAGCAAUGUUUGGCCUCGCGCCUUUGGAGCGGCCGAUGUCGGAUUAGCUAGUUGGUGGGGUAAAGGCCUACCAAGGCGACGAUCCGUAGCUGGUCUGAGAGGACGACCAGCCACACUGGGACUGAGACACGGCCCAGACUCCUACGGGAGGCAGCAGUGGGGAAUUUUGGACAAUGGGCGCAAGCCUGAUCCAGCAAUGCCGCGUGCGGGAAGAAGGCCUUCGGGUUGUAAACCGCUUUUAGCAGGAACGAAACGGUGUCCGCUAAUACCGGGCGCUAAUGACGGUACCUGCAGAAUAAGCACCGGCUAACUACGUG